rnacentral:lncRNA from 1 species
GUGGAGACAGCCAUUCCUCAUGAUGAACAAACUGGCGAGGGGGGAGCCGGAUCUUACCCUUUAAUUAGGUCACAGCCGAGGGUUUAGGGCAGAGGUCGCCCAAACAUCGAUUGGAAUGACGAAAAUGUCCAUUCCCCAUCAAGUAGAGGAGUGUAUAAAGUCUUAAGUUACUAUCAUUCCAUAUCAGAGUACCCACGUAGCGGUAAGUCAACUCUCGAAUCCUAAUCAGCAGGAGAAGGGCCCGUUUUCGUUUCAUCCCGAGUUUCCUCUGUCGGUGUUACGCUAACGACUGAAGCUAGAAUAUUUCCUGGAGUGGAGGGCUCUCUUCUUAAUAGGAAAACUUCAUUCUAAUAGCAGUCAGGGAAGUAUGAUAUAUUUGCUAUAAGAGUAUUGGAACAUGUCUUAAAGGACGUGAAAAAGGCUACUAUUGGAUGGAUUGGGUAAGCUAUCCUCUUAUCUAUAUUGUACGUAAGGUAAUAAGGCUUGGGCUACUAGUGAAUAAGGCUUGGGCUUCUGCUUUUUCUUCUUAUUAGUAAUGGUGGAAUUCCCAGUUAGGAGUGAGGGUGCUUAGAGGCAUUGGUGAAAAGCCUAAAAGAAAGAACUAAAUGUAAGUAAUACAAGAAUCAAAGCCAGGAUCGGUAGUACUACAGACAGACUUAAGGUCCGACGGUUUAGUAAUUCGAAAAAGGAGUCAAAGAGGUAGCUACAUAAAGAAAGUCAG